GGAAAUCUAUGCGCUAAAGCAACACAUUAACGAUAUUCAUCAGGUGAUAAAACAGCAAAGAACACUUCUCCAAGACGUGUUAACUAUUGUGCAAGACAAAGUUGUUACAACAAAUUUGCAUUCGGAGUUAAUUGCCAAAUCCACUGAGUUGCACCAAAGUCAUUGUCACGAACACACCUUACUCCAAUAGUGUGUGUGACGUAGUUGUGGUGGUGAAAG